AGGACAAUCGGACGGACGGACGGACGGACGGCGCCCGGGCUCCCGCCGCGAGCCGAGGGACGAGGCGGCGGGCAGGGCGGCCGGGCCGGGCAGGAGGCGGCCGCGGGACGCUUGGGUUAGCCGCUCGGUUCCCCCCCCCCCAAUCCCCGACGAGAAAAGACCUGGAGGCGAAGGCAGAGCCGGCGCCGGAGGGACGCGCAACGGCCCCGCUCCCGGCCCUUCGGCUGCUUUCGGAGGGUCUCGUUUUCUUUUUCCUCUCCCCCCCCUCGUUUGCUCGCUUGCCGGGGGUGGUUUUCUUGCCCGACGAUGCCAAUGGGUGUUACGUUUUUGGAGAGCCGACCGCAACGACGACGCUUUUUCAGCUCCGCCAGCGGGUCCCGGAGACGCAGCCGUUGCCCAGUAAGUACCCCGGGAGCCGAACCCUCUAAUCAGCGCCGGGCUAAUUGGGGGCCGGGGCGCUGCCGAGCCUCCCGGUCCUCCUUGGAGAAGGGGCCCCCUCGACGCCCGACGGACGCCGCGCGAGCUGCCUAAUUGCGGCCCCGCUGGGCGGCCGCUCGACGCCCUUGCUGGGGGUGGGAGCAAGGUGCGGGCGGGCUGGGUGCAAGGCGCUUCCCGGCUGGGUUUCCGGAGCCGCAUCCCGCCUGGGUAACCCAGCACCCUGUUCUGCCCGAGGCAUGGGCACCCGGCGAGAUCCACCCGCUGGGCACGGGGUGCCCCAGCCUCGUCUCUGUCUUGAGCACCAAACGGGAGACCCCGUGGCAUGAAUGUCUGACACGGGCCAGAGCCCGGGGGUGCGGGGUGCUGGAGUUUGGGGGGUGCAGGGUGCUGGAGCCCAGGUGUGCAGGGUGCUGUAUCCCAAGUGCACAGGGUGCUGGAGCUUGGGGUGUGCAGGGUGCUGGAGCCCAGGUGUGCAGGGUGCUGGAGCUUGGGGUGUGCAGGGUGCUGGAGCUUGGGGUGUGCAGGGUGCUGGAGCUUGGGGUGCGCCGGGUGCUGGACACUGGGGAUGAGCAGGAGCACAGACAUCUGGAUGGGGGGUCCCACUCAGAGCAGGGCCGGCACACGGGGACGCGGGGGGCACCCGGGACCCCCGCGAGCGGGCGACGGGUGCCGCCACCACGCUCACACCUCUCUCGCUCUCCUCCGCAGCCCGUCC
rnacentral:lncRNA from 1 species